CUGACAUACAUGAUUGGUUAUUAUUUAUUUCCAUCUCAUUUUGGGUUCUGAAAGUUUCCCCAAGGCACUGGUGUGUGUGAACUUUCAGAUUGCACUUGGGAAUGGCUGGCCUCAUCCCCUCUGCUCCACUGGGAUCCCUGGUGAAGUUUCGUUUUAAGUGUUUGUGCCAAAGUAGGAGCAACAGAAGCUCGGCAAAGGCGGUGUGGGUUGGAGAACAGCUUCGGGCUGAGAACACGCGUAUGUGAAUGAGAAAGGGGUGACUCUCCCCACGCAAGCUGGAUGUUGACAUUCAACCCCAGUUGUAAGAAAGAGCAGAUUUCUAAGAGACUUGUGUCCAGAGAUAAGACUGAGAUCCCUAAUGGAGCAGGUAACUCAGGACACUGUGAAGAAGUCCAGCGACAAGGACCGGGCUUACAUCAAAGACUGGUUAAGUCAUGUGCUGAUUUGUAUUAUCCUAGCAUUAAAAUGAGGGAAAAGAAUCACUGUAGACAUUUCACUCGAUGUUGUUCUGAACUGUAAUAAAAAACAUCAGGUUGCAUUACCCUUCCCAAAGAUCACGUUCAGCUCUCUCAGCACUUCCAGCCUCCCAAGGAGACAUUUUCAAAGCAGCUAGAUUUUUCGGCCCUAGAGAGGAAAACAAUCACAGAAACACAAGCAGAGCCCAUCCCUGGCCCCUGCUGACCAAACGGCAGGCACUUGGGAGAAACAAGCUGGCUGGAAGGUGUCCCAGCGGAAUAGAGGUUCCUGGAGUCCUGAAGGCGAGGGAGGAAAAAAACAAAUGGAUCUCUCCUAGGGGAACCAGCUCUUUCCUCUCAGGCUCUGCUCUGCCUUCUCAGAGACUGGGAUCUGCUUGCUUGCCAAUGAAACCAAAGCACCGAGUGGGUAGCACAAGGCGAUGUUUGUAAAUAUGACAAACCAUUGCAAUAUUACAGCUUUUCAUUUGGAAAGCCACUUAGGCAAGAAAUGAUUACUGACCCAUGAUAUGUAAAUGACGGGAAUGCAGAAAUUAGUAUUUGGGUCAACUUGUAUAUUUUUCAACCAUGAAAUGAAAGUCUCAGUGUUCACAUUCCAAUUCAUACAUGAAAGCAUCAGGGUGCUAUUAGUUGUCUAUUGUGUUAAUUUAUUGUUGUCUUAAUUCAUGUUUUCAGAGCCACUGUGAGGGUAUAGAUCUACUUUCUAUGCACUAAUGUUGCAACUGGAAGAGGGGAUGAUGCGUCUCUGGGCCAGCUGGUGUCCUGAGGGGGUUCUACUUUAGUUGAGGAGAAAGGAAGUGAUUCUGAAGGAGAGGCUAGGGGGAUCCUUUUCAAAUAUUUCAAAUAUGGCAUAAGUCUAUCACUUCCCUUUCUUUGAGUUCAUAAAUCCACAAGAAUGUGUUGGACAAUCGGGCUACCAUGACAAGUUCCUAGGUGCCUUUGGGGACACGAAAAAUACCUAAAAGGACCUUUGUCUUCCAGGUUGGAGCAAAAGAGACUCACUGUGGAAAAAAUGCAGGAACUCAGAGGGAGAGAGAAUUUAGGAAGACUUUUUGGAGGAGGUGACAUUUCAGCUGGUUUUGAAGGGUGUUAGAAGUUAAGAGAUGAAAGGAAGGAGAAGAGUCAUUCCAGGCAGACAGCAAGCGAAAAGUCCCAGAGGAUGGAGUACCAUGCUGCAUAAACCGAGGUCCCCCUUCACUGAAACAGAAAGUGGCUAUCGAAGAGCAAAGGUGUGGGAGAACAUACAGAGAAGUCCCCCAAGGUGGGCCCCUGAAGACCAGUGAGAGUUCCUUCCCAAGUGAGCCUGAUGAAGGCCAUGGGAAAGCAGUUUGGGCCUACCUAGAUUGUGUACAAAUGCAGCCAGGAUUGGAGCUGGGAGACACUGUGGAAGGAAGGCCAGUUGGGAGGUAGGAUUAGCAAUUUAAAGUCAGGGAAAGAAGGCCCGGAGCCGGGGUGCUUGUCACAUGUGUUAGGAGAAACGGCAGAGGGAUGGGCAGGAGAGGGUGGUCUGGGAGACAGGAAACGAAGUGUUAGGGGAUGCAUCUGAAAGCUGUGUGCAGAGGGAGAGAGUUACUGUCAGCCCUUACGUUCUGUGGUUUUACAGAGCAAAACGCUUACGUGAUGCCGAGAGUAAGUGGGGUAAGGAAAUAAUGACGGUUUUGCCUUUUAAUCUAAUUAAUUGGCUAGAGGGCACUCUGGGUAUUUCCACUGUGCAACUACAUCUCCUCCUCUUGUAACCUCCUACAUCAUAGCCUCGAGAUUGGGUAGUGCUGAGAUCUCUGGCUUCAUUCAACGUUGGUCCUUGGAUCUGGGUGUGCCAGCCCCUUUAAGCACAGGCACUCAGUCAGACCCUUUACCUGGGGGUCUCAAGGUCAGAAGAGAUAUUCUGCCUGAGAGGUGAACUGAGGGCAGGACAGUUUUGAAAAUGUGGGUUAGACCAAUAGUUCUCAAUGGAGUUUAUACUGCCCCCUACAGGGUGCUUUGGAAGUUCCUAGUAACACUUUUCGGAGGUCACCAAACUGGGUGGGAGCCAGGGAUGCGAGACAUCCUCUGUUCACAGGAGAGUCCAGCACAAGGCAGAAUCCUGUAGCAUCUCAUAUGGCUUUUGAGUGUCCUGCCAGGCAUUCAUGUAGGUAAACCUGUUUAUACUUAUCUAAGCCUAAAACCUAGCUCCAAUUUAUAUAAUUUGUUGCCCAGUUUUAAUACACACUAAAUUUUCUAUGAAU